rnacentral:lncRNA from 1 species
AACAAAAGCGCACUCCAACAAUGCACACUUGUCCUUCACUUUUCCCUUUGAGCCCCAUAUUCAUUGGCGGCGCUGCGAGCAGAGAAUAGGCAAUGUGUGAUUAUACUGUAUGGAGCUGGUGAGGGGAGUGUGUCAAAGUGUGCAUGCCACACAAUGUGCCUGGAGAGAUUGAUGUUUUUGUCAUCCACCUGCUUCAAAGCUGUAAAAAAGCCGGCUGAUGCAAAUAGAGAAACCUAGCCAGGCAGGCUCACAAACAAAAGAGGGAGAACCUCCACUGCUCCUCUUUUUGCACAUCUGCUUUGGAGGAAUAUCUGAGGUUUCUGUUGUGACGCACACUGCAGGCUCAAAUGAACACUGAAUCUGAGUCUGGUGUCUGGCGACUACCUGAUCAGUCACUGGUCCUCCUCUUGUCUCUUUCUGGUGCUGUUCUGGUUGCGUCCCCAGCGGGAGCAGAAAUGGGGCAUGGAGCCUGGGCGGGGCGGCUGGGAGGAGAGACGGCAGCCGGGGUGGCGCGCCGACUGGAGGAGUGCCAACCAGGCUGCCAGAAAAUGAAGUUAAAGGUGGAAGAAUACUGA